rnacentral:rRNA from 1 species
UACGUAGGUCCCGAGCGUUGUCCGGAUUUAUUGGGCGUAAAGCAAGCGCAGGUGGUUUAUUAAGUCUGGUGUAAAAGGCAGUGGCUCAACCAUUGUAUGCAUUGGAAACUGGUAGACUUGAGUGCAGGAGAGGAGAGCGGAAUUCCAUGUGUAGCGGUGAAAUGCGUAGAUAUAUGGAGGAACACCGGUGGCGAAAGCGGCUCUCUGGCCUGUAACUGACACUGAGGCUCGAAAGCGUGGGGAGCAAACAGG